rnacentral:rRNA from 1 species
GAUGAACGCUGGCGGCGUGCCUAAUACAUGCAAGUCGAGCGAACAGACGAGGAGCUUGCUCCUCUGACGUUAGCGGCGGACGGGUGAGUAACACGUGGAUAACCUACCUAUAAGACUGGGAUAACUUCGGGAAACCGGAGCUAAUACCGGAUAAUAUAUUGAACCGCAUGGUUCAAUAGUGAAAGACGGUUUUGCUGUCACUUAUAGAUGGAUCCGCGCCGCAUUAGCUAGUUGGUAAGGUAACGGCUUACAAAGGCAACGAUGCCUAGCCGACCUGUGAGGGUGCUCGGCCAAACUGCAUCUGAGACACGGUCCAGACUCCUACGGGUGGCAGCAGUAGGGAAUCUUCCGCAAUGGGCGAAAGCCUGACGGAGCAACGCCGCGUGAGUGAUGAAGGUCUUCGGAUCGUAAAACUCUGUUAUUAGGGAAGAACAAAUGUGUAAGUACCUAUGCACGUCUUGACGGUACCUAAUCAGAAAGCCACGGCUAACUACGUG